UUUUGUUUAAAAACUUUAGACAAGCUUUUGGUGUUGCCUCUGCUCAGGAUAGAGUUCGCAAUUUAAUAACCUUGUUGUGUUACAAACCCUGAGACUUCGCGACUCCUGCACUAGUCCAUCUGCCAAGCAGAGAGCAUUUCUUGACCUUUUAAAGAAAGCCAGAGAUAAUGAACCAUUUGGACCGUAGGAUGCCCGAGCUGCUUGGAAUAAAAUCAGCGUGGCUGUGAAUUUUGGAGAGGAACAAACGUGGAGCUCCGAGCCAGCAGUGCGGGCUGAGGGUUCGCAGUGAUCUCCGACUGCAGUAACAGCCAUAAACUCCUUUAAAACAGUUAAUAAAUCAGAAGACAUGGGCAGAGAGAGAUCUGGGCUUCACAAGGGCUUGACAAAGUGUCUUGAAGUGUCCGGCGAGGGAGGAUUUGACUGGCUGCCAUUGGGUUAGAGCUUGUAACUAGCGAUUUUCUCCUUCAAAGAUCUUGUCGGCUCUUGAGAAAUGCAAAUCCUGCAGAGGCUGGUGCUUGUUGGGGGGAGCUGGAUGUCAGACGCUGCUGUCCCUGUUAUUGAUGGCAUUGGAAACGUGCAGUGUGCGCCACGAGUUCUGCACUGUGGGUGCUGGAGGUCCAAUGGUGAAAGAUCAGUAUUUUCUGUUAUGAGUUUUAGUUCUCUGAAAAUGGAAACCUGAAUUUUUGCAGCUUCACGGGUGUUGUCCCAAGUCAGGUGUCCCAUCUUAGGCUGGAAAUGUCCCCUGGGGAGUACCACUCUCCCCUGCUAGUGAAAGGGCCCUUGAGCAUCUCAGACAAUGUGGUUGGGGAGUGGAGACUGAGCACCCAAAUCAUCCUUCCCGUGGCUGACCACAGCAGUGCUUCACAUGGACAUCCCCUGACCUAACCCUGAAACUUCUGGGUCCAGCUCCCGUGGACUUGGUGCCGAGCAGCAGUCAGGGCUCUGCUGGUGUCCCUGAGGGCUCCUGUGGAGAAUGAGAGGACCGUGGCUCUCUGGUCCUUUCUGGAAGCCAGCAGAUGUUCAUGGAUGAUCCUUUCUGAUGAGAGACCUCCUCAGGUCUCUCCUGUUGCCUGGGUGGUUGCACCAGGGCUGUGAUUUUCCUGCCUCCUGCGUGUGGUCGCUCACGCCAGUGCUUUCUGCUUAGCCCAAGUGGGUUUGUUCUUUUCAGCUGCUGGUUGUUACUGUGUCCCUUUUCCUUAACAUUUUCCACAGUAUUUCCAUCUCUGCAGCAAGUCUGGCACAGGACCUCCUGCCUGGCUCUUCUGUUUCUCUGCCUGCUGUGGCUGGAUGGUGUUCCCAGGUCCAAGGUGCAGACCCAGUGGACAUGAACAGGGACACACACACGUGCACACGUGUGCAAACUGGCACAGGAUGGGACACACACACACGUGCACACGUGUGCAAACUGGCACAGGAUGGCCCUGGCAGGCUGGCACAGACUCUGCUUCCAAUACCUCCUUUCCAUCACAUCCAACUUGGUUCCAGCAGAAAGGACGUAGAAAGCUUUUUGGGUGGAGCAGGAGAAGGGAUGGCUAAUGAGGGGACGGCUAACGAAGGGACAACUAACGCACUCCAGCCCUUGCUUCGCUGGUGCCAGGGAGAAAUGCAGGAUUAAUUGCUUCAAAACAUCACUGAGGAUACGUGUGUUCUUCCUGUGCUGGGAAACCAGAGCCAGAGCCUUGGUCUGUAACUCUUUUAGGGGAAGAUGACAUAGUUGCUCUCGAUUAAACCAUUAGUUUAAUGUUGAUUAAACCAUGGGUAAAUUAUUCAUGCGUCUGGCUAUUCAUAUGAUGCAUAAGGCUUUUAUUUUAAUGGGAUGGGUUGCCAGGCCUGGUAUUAAAAACUUGUUGUUGUGCUCACUAGCAACUAGCGUGGCAAAAAUAAACAAAUAGGAUGCUAAGGGAAGGGCUUUUGACAGUAACACUGUAGCAUGAGUGGAGCUGUCAUUUCAACUGAAAUAGCAUUAGGUUUAUGGUGAUUUUUUAGCCACAGAUCUCAUGUCAUAGCCUGCUUUCCUGCCAAGGAAACAUGGGCAGGCUUGCUCUCCUCUGAUGGGGGUUCCCAAAGUGUUGCAGAAUGUGGCCACCGCUGUGGUUGUGGCGAAGAGCCAGGAAGGACGGUCGCUUAGUGCCAUAAUAAGCAAUCAUUUAGUUCAGGGAAACCUCCAAAGUCAACGCUCAUAAGAAAAAUCCCGGGACUUGUUUGGCGUCUGGCAGAGAAGAUGAAACACCAGGCUGAAGGGAUUUCUCCGAGAGGUCUUCCACUCUCCAUACAGGCUUUGCUUCUUUCCUUCAAAGUUGAAAAGCUUGGCACGUGUGUAAUGCACCCCACGCUACUGGAGGCCUGGUUUUACUGGUCGCUAAAGGGUCUUCUUGUUGCCAUCAUUUUCAGGAAUAAAGCAUAGACAUGAGACACGGAUGUGCAUGAGUCUGCCCUGAUGCCCAGGCUGGUUCCAGUCCUGGGAUCAAGGGUGGUUGGGUCAGAGCAGCAUCCUCAGUGCUGGUGACCUGCAGAGCAGCAUGUUGAUGGAGCACUUUGCGUUUACCUGCACCUCCCUCCUUUGCCAUGCAAAAGCUGAGGGUCAGGAAGGAAGGGAAGGCAGGACCAAAUACCCUGCCGGGGGUGGCCAUGGCCAUGCUGUGCUCCGUGGCUUCAUGCAAAGCUGCUGGGGGGCCGGGGAGGUGGGUGAUGGUGCUGGCUCCCACCUGCAUUACGUUCCUGGGCUGCACUGGGGUGGUGCUGCUGGUGGAGGGGAGACGAUGAGCCCUGAGGGGAUGGGGCACGUUGUGGGGUGUCCUCUCACCCCAGCAUGGCUCUGCCUCCAUGCCUUCCCAGGCUACUGGUUUCUAACACUCCUCUUCAGGGUGCCGAGGCAGGUUGGACACUUAUGUUGUCUUUAUUAUUGAUCUAUAGACUGAUCGGUGAAUCCUGCUGACCAGGUGAAGAUCUACAUCUUGAGAUACAUAUGGGCUGUGGCUUGAUUUCACUCAGCCUGGGUGGACUUGUUGGGUAGCAGGGGGUGUUUCCUAAAGUAUGUGCUACCAGAAGAGUUUUGAGGGCCUGAUGGGGCCCUCAAAAGUGAGUGAAAGACAUCUUCCUAUGCCCACUGCUCAUCUGUCAAGCUCAAUGUACUCCUCAAGGUCAUUUUUCAGGCCAGCCGUUCUUGGGGGCAGAGUCAGGACUCAAAGCUGUGGCUUGCUCCAGCUGAGGGUCACUCAAGACUUGGGGGAGUCUCAUCCCCAAGAGCUGGAGGUGCUGGAAGGAGGAUUGGGCUGGUUGAGAGUCCUGCACCUCUUAUGGCUCCUCACCUGGCAGCCCCAAAGGUUUAACUGAUGUCCCACCAGCCUUGUUUUCCCACUCCCCGGAUCCCAGCCGAGAGGCUGAACACCAGUCGGGGUCUCUCCCAUUGCCUUAUUUCAAAUAACUUUUCUCCCCCUCUGCCAGAGUUGAGUUUCCUUGCUUGAGUCCCACCAGGAUGUAACUCCUGACCCCGGAUCUCAUCGCCAAGCGCGGACAGCGAGAGCCGUCAUCCCCCGGGGCCGAUGGAGGGGUUUAUAAAGCCCUGCAUCUUCCUUGGGCCAUCGCUGCUGGGGGGAGGGAGGACACGAAGGAGCUCCCGUGUGGGUGCCUGUAAUAGGAACGGUGCCUGGGGAGGCAUUUGGUCCUCAUUAGCAGAAGCUCGGUAGCUGUUUUGUCAUUUUUCUUGUUUGUCAUAAAAAAUAAAUACAGUUUAAUAGAUGAUCUUACAGAGCAGGUUUUGGCAACAAAAUAGAUCGUGUCCCAUUAUAAACUUGAUGUGUAUAAUUUAAAGCAAGAUGGAAUAUAAAACCAUUUCCAGCUCAGAUGAGAGAGAGGGAGACACAGAUUUAGGUCUUGAUUGUGCUGAAAUGAAAAACAGCACUUUCUCGGAUAGUGUAUUAAAUCAGGCAUCCUGUUUUAUGGAGUCCAAACUAUAAACAGCUUUUUUUUCAGAAUAAUUAAUCACAUCAUUUAUUUUUUGGUUUGAAAAGUUUGGGGAGGGGGGUUCUUUUGUUUCUUUGUGUAUUUUUAGAGGUAUCAUCUGCAAAAGAGCAGCCCUCAGCACCGAAGGAGAUGACUUGGAGACCAGGGUGGACUUCAAGGGGAUGUUCCUGUCAAAAUCCCAUCCGUUAUCAGAGAUUUAAGAAAAGCCCUGAGGAGCUCUUGGGAAUGCCAUGCCUGAUGGGGAAGGCUGGGCUCUGGAGCCGAGGGCGGUGGGAAGGAGCCGGGAAGCUGCGCAAACCCCAGCUGAGUUAAAAAUAGCAAUUGAUAAAGCUGCAAAGUCUCGCACCUCGGAGGAGUUCAAGCCAGCAUUCCUCCUGCCUGAGCAACCCUCGCCUGUGCCGUGCUGUCACUUGUGCCAUGCUGUCACUUGUGCCAUGCUACGAACGCGGGCAUGGGAUUUAAAACACAAUUUCAUGCUGCUUUCCCCACUCCUGGGACCCCUCGGGGUCAGGAGGAGCUGAGCUGGGGUGAAGGCACAUCUAGGAGAUGCAAAGGUAGGACCCCGUUCUCCAGGGCCAGCAGCAUCUUGUCUUAACCACUCUAGGUGGGUCCAUCUACUCAUUCCUGGCAAUGAAUAACCCACCAAGUCCUGUAGGAAACAUACCCUGUGUCUGCAGCAAGAGGUUACACACCAAUGUGCAUGUGCAAGAAGGUGAUCCUCUUGACUUUGACAGCUGAUGGAGCACAAGUGCAUCUGCAAGGGAGCACCUCAUUUGUCAUCUAUGGCAUGGACCAGACCUUAGCUCCA